AUGGCUUCAAAGCUUGUGGUUCUUGGAAUCCCUUGGGAUGUGGAUACAGAAGGAUUAAAAGAGUACAUGAGCAAGUUUGGCCCCCUGGAUGAUUGCAUUGUUAUGAAGGAUCGCUCAUCUGGUCGAUCUCGUGGUUUUGGAUACGUGACGUUUUCGUCAGUAGAGGAUGCAAAGAAUGUCGUUAACUCUGAGCAUAUUCUUGGAGACCGAACUCUGGAAGUGAAGAUAGCGACUCCCAAGGAAGAAAUGCGAGCUCCAGGAAACAAGAAAGCUACUAGGAUAUUUGUUGCUCGGAUUCCACAGUCUGUGGAUGAGUCAAUGUUUCGCAGGCAUUUUCAAACUUUUGGAGAAAUAACAGAUCUUUAUAUGCCCAAGGAACUGGGUUCAAAAGAACAUCGUGGAAUUGGGUUUGUCACUUUCCGAAGUGCAGAAUGCGUGGACAAUGUCAUGCAAGAAAAUCAUGAGAUUGAUGGUUCAACAGUUGUUGUUGAUCGUGCAACUCCGAAGCAGGAUGAAGAAGUCAGGCACCCUCCAAGGAGGGGGGGAGGAGCACAGGGCGAGGGUGGUUAUGGCUCGUAUAAUGCAUACAUUACAGCUGCUACCAGAUAUGCAGCUCUGGGCGUACCAACACUGUAUGAUCAUCCUGGACCAGCUUAUGGAAGAGGUUACUUGAAUGAGCCCCCUGUAUCAAGCAAAAAGAUUUUUAUUGGUAGACUCCCACAAGAAGCAAAUACUGAUGAUUUAUGGGAUUAUUUUGGCCGAUUUGGCAGAAUUGUGGAUGCAUACAUUCCAAAGGAUCCUAAAAAGAGCGGCCACCGUGGUUUUGGUUUUGUUACUUUUGCUGAGGAUGGUGUAGCAGAUCGUGUAGCGCGAAGAAGUCAUGAAAUUUUGGGACAGGAGGUUGCUGUAGACUCAGCUGCACCUGUUGAGGGUGGCCCCAGUCGAGGCGGUUACAUGGAACCACCUGCGCCACAUGGAGCUUACAGCCCGAUGAUGUCUUAUGGCCAGUUCUCUGGCAGUCUUGGUUAUGAUUAUGGUUAUGGUCCCAGUGGAAGUAGCAGCAGAUCAAGAGUACAGCCACGGUACAAACCGUACUGA
rnacentral:rRNA from 1 species